UACAGAGGGUGCGAGCGUUGUCCGGAAUCACUGGGCGUAAAGGGCGCGUAGGCGGCUCAGUAAGGUUGCGGUGAAAGCCCGGGGCUCAACCCCGGGUCGGCCGUGGCAACUGCUGGGCUAGAGCACUGUAGAGGCAGGUGGAAUUCCGGGUGUAGCGGUGGAAUGCGUAGAGAUCCGGAAGAACACCGGUGGCGAAGGCGGCCUGCUGGGCAGUAGCUGACGCUGAUGCGCGACAGCGUGGGGAGCGAACAGG
rnacentral:rRNA from 1 species